CUCAGCAGUUCCACACGCAAGGACACUGGGCUCCGUGGGGCUCACAUAAUUGCCCCCAGCCACAGUUACUAGGUAGGAGGGCUGGAGUCCAAACCGAGUCCUGUCUGUCCUCCCCACCAAGCUCCUCACGAUUAUCUGAAGGACAGCAUUUAACGUGUGAUUCACAAAAGGGACUCUGGAUCCGCUCGGUCCAGGUCUGAGUGGCGGGGACGAGGCCAGGUGCUCAGCAGAUGGCCAGAGUCACACAAACACCAAUAACAGAGGCAGAUAAAGUGGCGGGGAGCUGUUUGUGUCACCAAUGUUUAUCAAAGCUUUGUCAACAAAUGGAUUCCUGCCAAAGUCACAAAUAGAAAAUGACCCGACUGUGGAGACUCUCGGCUCUCAGCUCCUUUGCAGGGCGGACGUUCUGAAUGGAGGUGGAAAGAAAUGCAGAUACGUUGGGCUCUUGUGCACAUCCUGCCGUCCGCACACCCGACUUGCAACUUUGAGCUGCGAGAGUGUUUGAGCCCAGCCUCCGAGCCUGGGGCUUUUCUCCAGCCGGUGUCCAAUUCCUGGGGCAGGUCCCAAGUGCUGGGUGCCAGGGACUUAAUGCUCUCUAGGAGCUGAUCUCCGCGGAACGGGAGCCUGAUGGGUAGAUGCCACUCCUUCUUGCCCCUCAUGUGGGACGCCAGGGAGGCAUCUGCUACCAGUCUCCCAGAGGUCCCAGGAGGACUAGUCCAGCUGCCCACCAAGGGGACCUGCUCAUUAGCGCAACCGACCCUGGUUUCCGGACUGCCCUGUCUCCUUGCUCCGCCCCCUCGCCGCUUCCUGCCAUCACACCCCUAAUAAACUGCACUCAAA